CUCGAGACGUGUUCCUUAGCAGUCCCGUCCCGUUCAUGAUUUGUACAUAGAGCCCCGGCCGGCAAUAAUAGACAAAAUUGUUUUUCCUUCAUGAUCACCAUCAACCUCCUCGAAACCAAAGAAAGAAAAAAGAAAACCUCCACAAUAUUUGAAAAGUUUCUCCUGGACAGUCUUUACCAUCUGCAUUCAUGUCUGGAUCCCACACUCAGUAUAAUUUGUUGGAGGGAAGAAUAAAAAAAGUCUGCAACAGAACCUCUGAGACAAUUUCACACAUCUGUUCCUGCAGGGAAGGGUGUGGAUUUUGGCUCCAUUCAAACAAUAUGACAUCAAAAAUAAAAUGACAAGAAAGAAGAGAAUUUUGUCUCAUUUUGAUUAUAAAUGCCAUAAAUGAAAGUUGGGUUCCAGAGAAGACAUCUCACUAUAUCAAACCUAGCCAAGCUAAACAAAUAAAUAAAACAAACAAGCAAGCAAAUAAACACAACUUCAAAACAAAUAACAAAACUGAAGACAAAUGUGGGAUCUCAUCCUGCUGAGAUUUUUACCUCAGAUGCUUUUACAGAGGGUUUUGACCGCAGAUCAUGGUGGACAGUAUACUGAGAGGGCACUUCCCAAGAACAGUGGUUUCUUGGGAGCCAGUAUGCUAAUAGGACUAUCCUAUAUUUGGUCAAGUUUCCAGUUGUUUUUCUCCACUGGUUCAGGACUUUUUUCUUAUAAGGUCAUGUUCUGAGUUCACAUUCGUGAUUGGACCUUUGUCCUCACAUGCCUGUCGGAGUUUGCCCCGCCCAGGGGUCUUUGGAAUCUAGUACGUGUAACCUGCAGUUUUCAAGUUGGUUAUUUUCGUUAUUAAAGUUUUUAUUUUCUGGGCUUGUCCAUCACUUCCGUUCCUCAUUUUUUAGCCAGCAUCUCCUGGUGAAGACAAGCAAGGAGAUCACACUGAGCUUCGAAGCUCCAUAAAAAAAGCCACACAUUUCCACAUUUUAGUUAGCGGCAAGGAAUUAGGGAACAGAAUCAUUUUGCCUCAAGGGAGGGACUAGUUAUGAAAGUGAAGUAGAAAAUAUACUGAUCUGAGGAAGUCCUGAGAAAGUUUGGCCUGACCAAAUGUCUUGGUAAGGGAUGAGUUUGUUGAGUUGUAGUCUCACAGACAUUAGUAAAUUGUAGUAAAAAAUUUGAAAAAUAUUGAAACUCAGGACACUAGCUGUAUAAAGAUUGUCUGAACAAAAAGACAUUAUUUUAAACAGAGCAUUAGUGGUUGUGUUGGGUUUGCAUGGCAUGAUUUGGGUAGCGGGGGACCACAGAGGUGGCUUCUGUGAGAAGCUACCAGAAGCUUCUGCCAUGUCUGGCAGAGACAGUCCCUGAUGGCUCUGAAGAUGGACAUGCUGCUGGCCAAAUCUGGUCUAAUUAAAGAUGAUGGUAACACCUCUGGGAUAACAUAUUUAAGAAGAAAAUAAAAACAAAGUGGAGCACAGUGUUAAUUCCAGCUAGACAAGAUGAGGAGGUGAGAAAUGUGAGGGAAAACAACAUGGAGACACCAAGGUCAGUGGAGAAGGACAGGGAGGAGCUGCUCCAGGCACCAGAGCCAAGAUUCCUCUGCAGGCUGUGGUGAGACCAUGCUGAAGCAGCU